GAAAAUGUCACAAAACAAUGCUUAAUAAACUUUGUUUUUUUAAAAUGCAGAAAGCUGAAAGAGCUAAUCAUCAACUUGAAUAUUUCCUAAAAACUGAGAAGGCCAAGACAACCAUGGAAAUGGAUAUUAGUAAAAUAAAAGUUAAAGGUGAGGAUUCAGAAAAUAUACCACUGGAAAAAGAAAGGAGAAAAGCGUCAGUUUCACAUUCAGCUGGACAAAAGAGAGAUGAAAUUCAAGAACAAUCAAAGAUUUCAUUCAUCCACCAUGGAAGUCCAAUUGAAGAAAGAUCCUAAUAGAAUUUCUGAAAUACUUUGGAAAAGUCUCCCAAACCUUCAGAGAAUGGAUGGGAGCGAAGUAAGGAGACCCCACCUGAACAGACACCUGGUAUUACCUACAAUAAAGUACAAAAUUGUUUUGCACUUGACAACAUUGAGCUAUUUAUUUUGGCUUAGGGAAUGAGUUAGUGGCAAAUAUUUAAUUAAACACAUA
rnacentral:lncRNA from 1 species